GGUAUGCAGGAGGAAUUUAAAAAUUUAAUUUGUAAAUAAAUAUUAGUGAUGAUUAGUGUGCAAUGAUUGAUGAGUCUGUUGAAAUUUUUGGGGUUGUGGUUUUGCAGUAAUUAUACUUAAAAAAAUUAUUUUCAUUUCACUACUUUAAAAUUUUCAAUUAACUUUUUGCAAAAUUUAAAAAUCUAUAAAAUUUAGAAAAAAAUUAAUAUGGAACUAUCGUGAAGGUAACACAAUUUUAUUUGGCACAUUUUAGAAUAUUAUUUGGAAUUCCAUUUUGUAAAACUACUAUGAUUGUAUUGUUAUAAAUGUUUGUUUUUCCUUUUGCAUUUUUUUACAUUAUUGUUUUCAAUAAUCAGAAAGUGUGCAUUUUGAGAAGAUCAUCACCUGAGAAACAAACAAAUAAAUUGAAUCGAAAAUGGUUACAAUACAUGACUUUUUUGUUCAUAUUUUUGAAAUAUAUUUUAAAUCAAUGUUUAUAAAUGAUAACAAAAAAUGAAAAUACCACAGUAAAUUUAAUAUUAAUGUGUUUGAUAAAAAUACAAACAAGAAAAUCAAUUUUGAGACGUUAAUAAUAAUAAUAUAUAAUUUAUUUAAAAAAAUUUAAGGGAGAUGAAUAUGACCGUGAGGCAAGUGAAAAUGAUGAAGAUUCUCAGACUCGUAUAACGCAUGAUGAAAGAGGAGUUGAUAGAUGCAGUGACAACGAUGACCAACCAUCACCAGAAAGCGAUGAUGGCCAUUAUGAAGAAGAGCCUGAAUGUGAAAUGGAACGACGAGCUUCUCCCUCCUCCGAGAUUGACGCCGAUGCUGAUGAUUUUACAACGACGUCUGUUUCCUCUCUCAAUGAUUCUGAAGUUGAUGAGAGCGACGUCGACGAGGAUAAUAGCGACGAAGAAAUUAAUAAUGGGCAGCAAGAGGAGGAGUCAAAUGAGGACUCACUACCAGAGGAAUUUGACAAAAACGAGAGUUUCGCUGCUCCUUUUCUGAAGUUGCCACAGGUCCCCCUUUACCCUCCUGAUGGUCCAAGUGUGGCAGAUAUGACGCUUGUCAUUUUAUCAAUACUCAUUAAACACAACUCUACUGACUCUUUGAAAACCGAGAUUUUCCGCGGACUCAAUCUUCUCCUUGGAACUAAUGACUUUCCGGACAACCAGUAUAAGUUGAAAAAACUUUACAAAGCAACCAGUGACACAAUGGAAUGUCAUGUUUUUUGCAAGAAGUGCAUGAAAUAU